UACAGAGGGUGCGAGCGUUGUUCGGAAUUAUUGGGCGUAAAGGGCUCGUAGGCGGUUUGUCGCGUCGGGAGUGAAAACUCAGGGCUUAACCCUGAGCCUGCUUCCGAUACGGGCAGACUAGAGGUAUGCAGGGGAGAAUGGAAUUCCUGGUGUAGCGGUGAAAUGCGCAGAUAUCAGGAGGAACACCGGUGGCGAAGGCGGUUCUCUGGGCAUUACCUGACGCUGAGGAGCGAAAGUGUGGGGAGCGAACAGG
rnacentral:rRNA from 1 species